rnacentral:rRNA from 1 species
GUCUGCGGCCAGACCACCCUGAACGCGCCAGAUCUUUUCUGGUCUCGGAAGCUGAGCAGGGUUGGGCCUGGUCGCACUUGCAUGGGAGACCGUCUGGGGACACCAGGUCCCUCUUUCU